UGGGGAAUAUUGCACAAUGGGCGCAAGCCUGAUGCAGCCAUGCCGCGUGUAUGAAGAAGGCCUUCGGGUUGUAAAGUACUUUCAGUCGGGAGGAAGGUGGUAAGGUUAAUAACCUUAUCAAUUGACGUUACCGACAGAAGAAGCACCGGCUAACUCCGUGCCAGCAGCCGCGGUAAUACUGAGGGUGCAAGCGUUAAUCGGAAUUACUGGGCGUAAAGCGCACGCAGGCGGUUGAUUGAGUCAGAUGUGAAAUCCCCGGGCUUAACCCGGGAAUUGCAUCUGAUACUGGUCAGCUAGAGUCUUGUAGAGGGGGGUAGAAUUCCAUGUGUAGCGGUGAAAUGCGUAGAGAUGUGGAGGAAUACCGGUGGCGAAGGCGGCCCCCUGGACAAAGACUGACGCUCAGGUGCGAAAGCGUGGGGAGCAAACAGG
rnacentral:rRNA from 1 species